ACGUCUCCAAGAUAAUUUUUGUCUCUUUGAUUUGAACCUCCAUUCAUUUUCAUUAAGUAGCAAAAUUCUAACCAAAUUUUCCAUUCUUAUAUUGUUUAACAGUGGUAAAUAGUAUGAACCAUGGGGAUGGUAAUCUCUUUGAUGUUUUGAAUGGAUUUUGCAUUGUGUCUUACCAACUUCCUGUACAAUCUGUUCCUGCUUAAUUUACUCUCGAAAGAAAAAUGUUGUACAAGUUGUUGCAGUUCCGAUAUCACUUUCACCCUUAGAAAAACGAAUAGUAGAAAUUAGAUUGUUGUAUUUUAUACUCAUUUUUACAUCUAUAUAUAAAAACUAUAACUUUCACAUUUUUCUCUAUUCCAGGUUGCACGAAGACAUUUGAUUCAGUCCCUACUCUGAGGAAGGCAGUUAUAUUAGGCUACAGCCCUAUUAGACCUUGGAUGUCUGUAGUUUACAGGUGGCUCUAUGAUUUCAAUUCUCGUGAGUACUUUUACGAUGGUUCAUCAUAUGGCACCCAACAUACCCUUCAAAACUUCUGAGGAUAUCUUCAAUGAAAUUAGACUACAUUUUCAAUUAUCCUUUUCUUUGACAUUUUGAUGACAAACACCAUAUAGUUUAACCGUCUGAUUAUGAAAUGAAAGUAUUCCAUCGAGGUGCACUUCUGGUCAUGGUCAUGUAUUAUGUUAAAGUCCUUUAACCUAGAAGAUGAAAAUAGAUGAAUGUUUUCCUUUA